rnacentral:rRNA from 1 species
AGUUUGAUCCUGGCUCAGGAUGAACGCUGGCGGUCUGCUUAACACAUGCAAGUCGAACGGGACUCUUCGGAGUUUAGUGGCGGACGGGUGAGUAACGCGUGAGAAUCUGCCCUUAGGUUGGGGACAACAGUUGGAAACGACUGCUAAUACCCAAUGUGCCGAGAGGUGAAAGGUUAACUGCCUGGGGAUGAGCUCGCGUCUGAUUAGCUAGUUGGAGUGGUAACGGCACACCAAGGCGACGAUCAGUGGCUGGUCUGAGAGGAUGAUCAGCCACACUGGGACUGAGACACGGCCCAGACUCCUACGGGAGGCAGCAGUGGGGAAUUUUCCGCAAUGGGCGAAAGCCUGACGGAGCAAGACCGCGUGAGGGAGGAAGGCCUAUUGGUUGUAAACCUCUUUUGAUAGGGAAGAACACAAUGACGGUACCUAUCGAAUCAGCAUCGGCUAACUCCGUGCCAGCAGCCGCGGUAAUACGGAGGAUGCAAGCGUUAUCCGGAUUUAUUGGGCGUAAAGCGUCCGUAGGUGGCAAACCAAGUCAGUUGUUAAAGCGUAGAGCUUAACUCUAUAAGGGCAAUUGAAACUGGUUAGCUAGAGUGCGAUAGGGGCAAGGGGAAUUCCCAGUGUAGCGGUGAAAUGCGUAGAUAUUGGGAAGAACAUCGGUGGCGAAGGCGCCUUGCUGGGUCUGCACUGACACUGAGGGACGAAAGCUAGGGGAGCGAAAGGGAUUAGAUACCCCUGUAGU